UCUCUGUCUCUUUCCCCCUCUCUUUCCCCACUCCACAGAGUUAUAUUCAUGGAAGCAGUCAGGCUCAGUUUGUGGCUGAGUCUCACAUCAUCCUUCUUCUGAAUGCUGCAAUCACCAUGGGGAUGGUGCUACUAAAUGAGGCUGCCACCUCCAAGGGAGACGUUGGCAAGAGACGAAUUAUCUGCCUGGUUGGCCUUGCCUGGGGUGGGUUUUUCUUCAGCUUCCUGCUCUCCAUUUUUAGGUCCAAGUACCAUGGAUACCCCUACAGCUUCCUUAUUAAGUGAAAAAAGACAGAAGAAGAGGUCGGAGGAUGGCAAAGAGGCAGUAGGUGAGGAGAAGAGGAGUCGAGAAGAUACUUGAAGAGGAGGCAGCGUCACUAUUGAGUCUAGAGUGCAUGGUGGGGUUUCUUUGUUAGUGUUUUAUUUGUUGUUGACUCCUCAUGUAUUCUGC